rnacentral:misc_RNA from 1 species
AAAGUCGUAACAAGGUCUCCGUUGGUGAACCAGCGGAGGGAUCAUUACAGAGUACUUUAACUCACCAAACCCACUGUGAACAUACCUAUGUUGCUUCGGCGGAACGCCCCGGCGCCCUCGGGCCCGGAUCCAGGCGCCCGCCGGAGGACCCAAACUCUUGUUUUAUACCUAUUUUACUCUGAGUGGCGAAAGCAAAAAAUAAAUCAAAACUUUUAACAACGGAUCUCUUGGCUCUG